AUGAAAUCCAGUUCGGGUCAGAGAAGGGGAAGUCAGCAAUACGAAAUCCAGUCCAGGUCAGAGAAGGAGAAGUCAGCAAUACGAAAUCCAGUCCAGGUCAGAGAAGGAGAAGUCAGCAAUACGAAAUCCAGUCCAGGUCAGAGAAGGAGAAGUCAGCAAUACGAAAUCCAGUCCAGGUCAGAGAAGAAGUCAGCAAUACGAAAUCCAGUCCAGGUCAGAGAAGGAGAAGUCAGCAAUACGAAAUCUAGUCCGGGUCAGAGAAGGAGAAAUCAGAAACACGAAAUCCAGUGCGGGUCAGAGAAGGAGAAGUCAGCAAUAUGAAAUCCAGUCCAGGUCAGAGAAUGAGAAGUCAGCAAUAUGAAAUCCAGUUCGGGUCAGAGAUGGAGUAGUCAGCAAUACGAAAUCCAGUCCAGGUCAGAGAAGGAGAAGUCAGCAAUACGAAAUCCAGUCCAGGUCAGAGAAGGAGAAAUCAGAAACACGAAAUCCAGUGCGGGUCAGAGAAGGAGAAGUCAGCAAUACGAAAUCUAGUCCGGGUCAGAGAAGGAGAAAUCAGAAACACGAAAUCCAGUGCGGGUCAGAGAAGGAGAAGUCAGCAAUAUGAAAUCCAGUCCAGGUCAGAGAAUGAGAAGUCAGCAAUAUGAAAUCCAGUUCGGGUCAGAGAUGGAGAAGUCAGCAAUACGAAAUCCAGUCCAGGUCAGAGAAGGAGAAAUCAGAAACACGAAAUCCAGUGCGGGUCAGAGAAGGAGAAGUCAGCAAUACGAAAUCCAGUCCAGGUCAGAGAAGGAGAAGUCAGCAAUACGAAAUCCAGUCCAGGUCAGAGAAGGAGAAGUCAGCAAUACGAAAUCCAGUCCGUGUCAUACACAGAGCCAAAGCGUAGAAUGCAGCCCGGCAACUAAUGCAUAAGAUCAACACAAAGCAGUCCAGAGAAAACCCUUACAGUUCCAACCCGCACAGCUAUGGAUAAUCCAGAUUAAAUUUACAUUCACAGGAGUCUUCCCAAAGCACGUCUUCCCAAACAGCUCACACGGACACACGAACACCCAACAACACUUUGCCGACUGCAAAGGUGAUCCAUUUCCCAAACCCACUUUUAUUCACAAAUCAUCCUCAGAGCUAGAACCAGACCAGGCCCCACCAGGCCUCCUUUCAGCUGAAGCCCCUUGCCGAUCCCUCCACCCAGCCCAUCUUUUAUCCAUACCCAUAAUCCCCCAAGACCCAGCUGGACUCCCACUGUGCCAACCCUCAAACGUGUCACUACUUUCUUCCUCUUCGAGUGCACCUAGUAGUAUGAUUACUCAAAGACUCCAUCACAACACUCUCUCCCGGUGUAGAGUUGGGAGGUUUUCUUUCAAAAAGGAUGCACAGGUUUUACUAUGAUUAGAAAGUCUAAAAUGGCUACCGGGUUGCUGUGAGUUUUUCAGACUGUCUCGCCGUGUUCCGGCAGCAUCCUCUCCUGACGUUCCGCCUGCAUCUGUGGCUGGCAGCCUUAGAGGUUUGUUUAGUCCAAAACACCAAGUUGGUUCGUGCCUUUGUCUCCUUGGAACCGGACCCUUAAGCCAAUCCAGGGGUCAUCUGCAUUCCCACGUUGGGACCCCCAAAGGCUAUCCAGCCCAACCCCAGACAGCCAUGCAAAAAGACACAAUCAAAUCCCUCCCAACAGAUCCAGUCUCUGCUUACAAACUUCCAGGGAAGGAGGCUGUUAUGAAUGAUUGGGGGUAGGAAGGAUCCAUGCUCCUUCGCCCCCCCCCCAAUCUGUCCCUCCCUGAUAAAACCCAACGGCAUUUCCUUGGAGCCAAGAAUAGCGGCCGGAGGAUGACCGCAAGGAAGGGUCCGGUCUAUCAGGAGGUCAAUGGUGGAGCCUGUGGUCAGAGAUGCCUUGGCCUAAAAAUAAGGAGAGGAACCAAACAACAGAGGAGGAGAUAGGCUCUGAAAAGUGGGGUGGGGGGUUCACCAAUGGGAUCAUUUUGCAUUGCGGCAAGAGGCCAAUGCACAGAGCAAAGCCUUUGGGAAAUUGCAGACUUGGACUACAAGUCCCAUCACCCCCAUUGAAGGGUCACUAAACCAACUAGCUUGCAUUGCUGCAAGAAGACAAUGCACAGAGCAGCAGAGCCUUUGGGAAAUCACUUACUUGGAUUACAAGUCCCAUCAUCCCCAAUGAGGAGGUUCACUAGUAGGACCAGUUUGCAUUGCUGCAAGAGGUCAAUGCAGAGGGCAAAGCCUUUGGGAAAUUACUUACUUGGACUACAAUUCCCAUCAUCCCCAUUGAAGGGUCACUAAACCAACUAGCUUGCAUUGCUGCAAGAAGACAAUGCACAGAGCAGCAGGGCCUUUGGGAAAUUACUUACUUGGAUUGCAAGUCCCAUCAUCCCUAAAUGGGAGGUUCACUAGU
ensembl:lncRNA